UUUAAUUUAUGAAAAGAGAAGAAGUAGGAAAAGUAUUUUUAAUUCAACAUUUACAGAGUGAAUCAGGAGAAGAAGUGUUGGUAAUUUAUUUUGAAACAGAUAGUAUCACGAGAAGAAGUGGUAAAAGUAAUAAAGUUCUUUUAUUUAACAUUACGGAUUGAAUUACGAGAAGAAAUGGUUGUAAUUAAUUUAAAACAUAUUGCAUCACGCGAAGAAUAGGAAAAAUAUUGCUAUACUUAAGUAUCAAGAUUAAAAUACUGAUGUACCGUUGAACUGAAGGUGGUAAUAAAGUUUACAAAAUUUGCUCUGGCUGAAUUUUUCAAUGAAAAAACAAUAUGUGUGCCAUGAAUGUAAUCUGUUUUUCAUGUCGUAUCAAUGAAAGUUUGGUGUAUUGGCCAAAUCACUUGCAAGUAUCUUGCCUUUAGGCUGCCAUACGUAAAGUCACGCUUUUAAAAGUAAUUGAAAGCAGCUGAAAAUAAGAAUUUUUUGAUAAACUUUCUUACUUCGGUUGGAGGAGAUGAGAAAGGAGAUGAGAACUUAAAGCGGCAAUCUUAAUACAGCUAAUGGCCAAAGAAGUAUGUUUUUCAUACUCAGUGUAUGGAAUGAAACAAAAACGUCCUGCAAGGUCGUUAUAGUUAAAGCACAAUAUUUGUAUUCUACAUCCCAUUUCCUUUUAA
rnacentral:lncRNA from 1 species